rnacentral:lncRNA from 1 species
UGUCCCUCCAACAACGUGAAGUUUUGUAAACUUUGUUUUUUUUCAUGUUUUAAUGUGGUGCCCAGGACAGAGCCCAGGGUGUCACCUGGGCCAGGCAAGUGCUCUACCACCGCCAGACCCCAGCCCCAGGAUUUUAAAAAUGGUGACAGAUUUUCAAAUUGAGCUUCUAUAAAGUCUAAGGUCAACUACGACAGUAAGACUAAGUAGGUGCUUAGGAAAACCUUGACCCUGACAUGAUGACGGACGCAAAGUGCUGACGUCAGUUCUCUGUAAAGGCCGUGUUUCUUUACACGAAGGCAGAUAGAUCACGGUGUUUAUUACACCAAGUGCAGGUUAAGGUCCAGAUGACCUUCAGAAUCCGGGUCCUAGAGGAUCUCUCAGCGUUGGUCAGGUGAAAUGUAAUGAGAUACGGGAACAGAGGUGCACAACGUCCUGAUUUUAACACACGGAUGUCUUUAUUCUAUUGCUAUUUAUGGUUUGGGUCCCAGGAGAACCUGCGGCAGAGAGUCCUGAGCGACUCUAAGUAUCCCUCAUCUGGCUGACCCUUUUUUUUUUGGUACUGGGGAUUGAACCCAGGGUCACGCACUUAGCCACUGAACCCCAUCCCCAGGCCGUUUUUACAUUUUAUUGAGAGACAGAGUCUCGCUGAGUUGCUUAGGGCCUUGCUGUGUUGCUGAGGCUGGCCUCCACCUUGCCAUCCUCCUGCCUCAGCCUCCUGAGCUGCAGGUAUGACGGGCGUGUGCCACCCUACCUGGCUGUAUUCUGCCUAAUAGAUGAAAGUCCUGUAGACACAGGUGACACUGAUUUCUCUGCUUCUGGAUUGGGUCUGUUCCCAUUUACUGUACAGUCAUUAUUUCAACUGAUGAAUGAUCAAAAGCAGGAGUUAAGUCCCUAACUCCUUAGAAAGUUCUUUUCACAGGAAAAGAAAAGUGUGUGUGGCGGGUGGGACC